GUGCUGGUUGGUUCUGCUAUUAUUCGGAAAUGAUGUUUUAGAAUUAUUUGACAUUUAUAGAUUUGUAACGUAGCAAAUAAAAAGAAUAGACUACGAGAGAGAGAGAGAGUGAGUGAGUGAGAAAAGGUCAUUGUCUCGAUUGUAAUGUAUCCAUCACUUGAAUUAAUUGAACCCCCUCCCCCCUCUCUUAUUUCAUCUUAUAUAC
rnacentral:lncRNA from 1 species